rnacentral:lncRNA from 1 species
ACCUCUCCUAGCAAUGUUUCCCCCCCAGCGGUAGAUACAAGCAAAAAUGAAUCAAGUCUAUCAGGUGAUACACAAAUUUUGGAAGCAAGAACAUGUGAAAUAAAAGAAUCUGAUGCACCAGUAUCAAACAAAACAUGAGCAAUGUGGCCAGAGAUAGUAUACAUACCAUGUACCACGUCCGGGUCUGCGUCGGCAUCUUUCUGGGUAAGGUUGUAAACUCUGCCCUGGAUUGGAGGCCUCCCUUGAUUCUGAUUCCUAGGGCACUCCCUCGCAUAGUGCUGGGCACUGCCGCAUAUGCGACACGUGUUGUUGAGGCGGUAGCAGGGUC